rnacentral:lncRNA from 1 species
UUGAUGUUUAAAAAGGCCUAAAGGAAAGAGAGGACUGGCACUUGUGUUACAAUAUUUUAAGGCAUUCAAGUGCUGGGACUGCUGUGGUAGGAAGAGGUGGGACUGACCGAAAGCAACCAACUUGUGGCAUACCGUCUCUUGGUUAAUAUGGCCUGUGGAGGGACCCCACCUUUUGCUUAUUUACUGGUGCCAUAAAUGUUGCUGAGGUUGCAUGUCUGGUUGGACUUGAUGCAUGGCAUUUGCAUGACACCUAACAGCCUAGCUCU